GAUGAACGCUGGCGGCGUGCCUAAUACAUGCAAGUCGAGCGAACAGACGAGGAGCUUGCUCCUCUGACGUUAGCGGCGGACGGGUGAGUAACACGUGGAUAACCUACCUAUAAGACUGGGAUAACUUCGGGAAACCGGAGCUAAUACCGGAUAAUAUAUUGAACCGCAUGGUUCAAUAGUGAAAGACGGUUUUGCUGUCACUUAUAGAUGGAUCCGCGCCGCAUUAGCUAGUUGGUAAGGUAACGGCUUACCAAGGCAACGAUGCGUAGCCGACCUGAGAGGGUGAUCGGCCACACUGGAACUGAGACACGGUCCAGACUCCCACGGGAGGCAGCAGUAGGGAAUCUUGCGCAAUGGGCGAAAGCCUGACGGAGGAACGCCGCGGGAGUGAUGAAGGUCUUCGGAUCGUAAAACUCUGUUAUUAGGGAAGAACAAAUGUGUAAGUAACUAUGCACGUCUUGACGGUACCUAAUCAGAAAGCCACGGCUAACUACGUG
rnacentral:rRNA from 1 species